UCUUGCUACCUGGAACAUAAACAUGUUGGCAGGUGCCCAAGCAGCCAUCUUGGACCAUAGGUGAAAGCAGCAUUUUGGGGAUAGUGGAAACUCAAGAAAGAGGCAGCCAGGUUUCUGGUAGUCAUGGAGAUGUCAUACCAGCCUGAAUUGCCUGUGUUUAUUGCAUGUGAGAAAGAGGAAGACUUUUACCUUAUUUGCCUUAUUAUUACCUAAACAUUUGCCUUACUUAAGCCAUUGAUAUUUGAGGAAGUCUGUCCCUUGCGACUGAAACUAAUCCUAACACAAAAGGAAACAGAGGCUCAGAGAAGCUAAGACAUUUGCACAGGACCACAGCUGGGCUGAGAAGAAAAAUUGAAUACUGAUGAGAAAGAAGAUGGAUAGAAGAGAGAGACAUGCAACUGGGACUCUAACAGAAAUGCCAUUCUCCCUGGGAAGGGACUAGCCCAGUCAGCAGCCACCUCACUCCAUGAGUUGGUUCUGAGGCACCCUCUGUGCCAGGCAGCUCGGGACACAAGGUGAAUUAGAUCCAACCUCACAGCCAUGUGAGGCAGACAGAGUGACACAGACUCUGUCACCAGAAGAGCAAGCAUUUGAACGGGCUGUCAGAUGGAGAGCCCAAGCACUUUCUGCUCUAGGUUCCCUCCCUCUGCUGCAGUUGGGAGAGGCUGGGCUGGGAAGCCCACAUGAGCCGUUGCAGCUCCCUGCAAGGGACUCUCACCUCCUCUCUCAGGCCUCCUCUCCCUGGGCUCCUGGCCUGGCCCUUCACACCUUUCUCCAACUCCAUCAUGACUGCAGGCUUUGGCCUUCCCUCAGGAAAAGAACGAAUUUUUCUCCACAAAAUUCUAUAAUCUCUUCCAGCCUCUCCUUUUAGCUACUGUCAUAUCCAUUCACCUAAGUGAUAACAGAAGACCACAAGUCAGAUGACUCAUAUAUUCACCUAUUCAAUAAACACUCCAGAGCAUUCCUCUGGCCUAGGACUGAUGAGUCUCACAAUCUUCUAAGCAAAAAAUAGAACAAAAAACAAAAAAACCUGCCAGACACAAUGGCUCCUGCCUGUAAUUCCAGCACUUUGGGAGGCCAAAGUGGGAGGAUCACUUGAGCUCAGGAGUCCAAGACCAGCCUGGGCAACAUGGAGAAACCCUAUCUCUACAAAAAAUACAAAAAUUAGGCAGGUGUGGUGGCAUGCACCUCUAGUCCCAGCUACUCAGGAGGCUGAGAUAGGAGAAUUGCUUGAGUCCAGGAGGUUGAGGCUAUAGUGAGCUGUGAUCGCACCACCUCACUCCAGCCUGGGCAACAGAAUGAGAUCCUGUCUCAGCAGAAAAGAAAAGCCCUGUAGUUCAAGUCUUAGCUCACAUCAACAUGGCUGGGGGAGGUAGCUCAUACCUGUAAUCCCAGCACUUUGGGAGGCUAAGGCAGGCAGAUCGCUUGAGCCCAGGAGUUCAAAACCAGCCUGGGCAACAUAGUGAGACCCCCAUCUCCACAAAAAAAAAAAAAAUAAUAAUAAUAAUACAAAAAUUAGCCAGGUAUGGUGGCACACACCUGUAGCCCUAGCUACUCAGGAGAGGUUAAGGUUGAAGUGAGCUAUGAUCGUGCCACUAUACUCCAGCCUGGGCAACAGAAUAAGACUCCAUCUCUCUCUCCUUCUCUUUCUCUCUGUCUCUCUCUCUCUCUGUGACAAGGCCUGGCUCUGUCACCCAGGCUAGAGUGCAGUGGCACCAUCUCAGCUCACUGCAAACUCUGCCUCCCAGACUCAGGUGAUUCUCCCACCUCAGCCUCCUGAGUAGCUGAGACUACAGAUAUGCACCACCACACCCAGCUAACUUUUGUAUUUUUUAUAGAGUUUUAAAGUACUAAAUUUUAAAGUUCUAAGUUUCACCGUGUUGCCCAGGUUGGUCUCGAACUCCUGACCUCA
rnacentral:lncRNA from 1 species